rnacentral:rRNA from 1 species
AUGACACUGUUGAGCCGUUUAAGAUGUCUUGACCUUUUUGGCACAGAAAUAAAUCGAGUUCCACGAGGGAUAGGGAAACUGGAGCUCCUCACUUAUUUAGGAAAUUAUCUUGUUGGUGAUGGAAGUUAUAAUGCUGUUAUACAAGAUGGAUGGAAGAUCGAAGAGUUGUCUUCUUUCUCGCAGAUGAGGCAUCUUCACCUUGUUAAAUUGGAAAGAGCAGCUCACUGCAAUACAAAUACAGUGCUUACAGGCAAAAGACAUCUAAAAAAACUAGUACUAGAAUGGACUAAAUGUGGAGGAGGGUCAUAUUCAGAAGAAUAUGUUAGCAAUCCGAGAAGAUCUUUGAGCAGCUAA